AUUGAACGCUGGCGGCAGGCCUAACACAUGCAAGUCGAACGAGUGGCGGACGGGUGAGUAAUGUCUGGGAAACUGCCUGAUGGAGGGGGAUAACUACUGGAAACGGUAGCUAAUACCGCAUACCAUCAGAUGUGCCCAGAUGGGAUUAUCUAGUUGGUGGGGUAACGGCUCACCAAGGCGACGAUCCCUAGCUGGUCUGAGAGGAUGACAAGCCACACUGGAGCUGAGACACGGUGCAGAGGCCUACGGGAGGCAGCAGUGGGGAAUAUUGCACAAUGGGCGCAAGCCUGAUGCAGCCAUGCAGCGUGUAUGAAGAAGGCCUUCGGGUUGUAAAGUACUUUCAGCGGGGAGGCGUUACCCGCAGAAGAAGCACCGGCUAAAUACGUGCCAGCAGCCGCGGUAAUUC
rnacentral:rRNA from 1 species